rnacentral:lncRNA from 1 species
CACUACCGCUCCUUCUUCAGGUACGAUUCGCCGAUCCCUAAUCAACUUCUACCUUUUUUUUCUCUCUCAACGCCAUCCCGAAUAUUUUCUUUUUCCAGACAACGGCGGGAUUCACGAGCAAUUUUUACGAGCCGACUUGGCAGACGUAGAAUCCGGCAAUCACGGCGGACCCAAGUUCCAGAUCCGCAACUUGACCAAGACAUCUGAUGCCGGCGAGCCGAUCCUCCGCGGCAUCGACAU